AGGCUUUGAUCCUGGCUCAGGAUGAACGCUGGCGGCGUGCUUAACACAUGCAAGUCGAACGAACCUACGGGUUAGUGGCGGACGGGUGAGUAACGCGUGAGAAUCUGCCCUCAGGAGGGGGAUAACGGCUGGAAACGGCCGCUAAUACCCCAUAUGCCGAGAGGUGAAAUGAGUUAUCGCCUGAGGAUGAGCUCGCGUCUGAUUAGCUAGUUGGUGGGGUAAGAGCCUACCAAGGCAUCGAUCAGUAGCUGGUCUGAGAGGAUGAUCAGCCACACUGGGACUGAGACACGGCCCAGACUCCUACGGGAGGCAGCAGUGGGGAAUUUUCCGCAAUGGGCGAAAGCCUGACGGAGCAACGCCGCGUGAGGGAUGAAGGCCUCUGGGCUGUAAACCUCUUUUAUCAAGGAAGAAGAUCUGACGGUACGUGAUGAAUAAGCCACGGCUA
rnacentral:rRNA from 1 species